rnacentral:tRNA from 1 species
UCCCUGGUGGUCCAGUGGCUAAGACACUGACCCUCCCAAUACAGAGGGCCCAAGUUCAAUCCCUGACCAGGGAG